rnacentral:sRNA from 1 species
AACGGUUCUUGUUUACCCCGCCGUUUCGUUGGAUUUAUGACUGUCCGCCGUAACGUCGUGCUCAAUAGCAAUCUCCUUUUCCACGCUAUCGGUGCCGUCAUGGCUUUUGCAAGAUUUAUCAAGGAUAUACACUAUGUCUAACACUGUAACUGGUACAGUUAAAUGGUUUAACGAAACAAAGGGUUUUGGUUUUAUUAAGCAAGAAAAUGGUCCAGACGUUUUCGCUCACUUUUCAGCAAUCACAGGUGACGGUUUCCGCACUCUUGCUGAAGGUCAAAAAGUUGAGUUCGUAAUUACUCAAGGUCAAAAAGGCCCUCAAGCAGAAAACAUCAAAGCGGUUUAAUCACAACCACUUACAGCAUACAAUAGCCAGCAAUAUCGCUGGCUAUUUUUU